rnacentral:rRNA from 1 species
GCUAAUACCGCAUACGUCCUGAGGGAGAAAGUGGGGGAUCUUCGGACCUCACGCUAUCAGAUGAGCCUAGGUCGGAUUAGCUAGUUGGUGGGGUAAAGGCCUACCAAGGCGACGAUCCGUAACUGGUCUGAGAGGAUGAUCAGUCACACUGGAACUGAGACACGGUCCAGACUCCUACGGGAGGCAGCAGUGGGGAAUAUUGGACAAUGGGCGAAAGCCUGAUCCAGCCAUGCCGCGUGUGUGAAGAAGGUCUUCGGAUUGUAAAGCACUUUAAGUUGGGAGGAAGGGCAGUAAGUUAAUACCUUGCUGUUUUGACGUUACCAACAGAAUAAGCACCGGCUAACUUCGUGCCAGCAGCCGCGGUAAUACGAAGGGUGCAAGCGUUAAUCGGAAUUACUGGGCGUAAAGCGCGCGUAGGUGGUUCAGCAAGUUGGAUGUGAAAUCCCCGGGCUCAACCUGGGAACUGCAUCCAAAACUACUGAGCUAGAGUACGGUAGAGGGUGGUGGAAUUUCCUGUGUAGCGGUGAAAUGCGUAGAUAUAGGAAGGAACACCAGUGGCGAAGGCGACCACCUGGACUGAUACUGACACUGAGGUGCGAAAGCGUGGGGAGCAAACAAGAUUAGAUACCCUGGUAGUCCACGCCGUAAACGAUGUCGACUAGCCGUUGGGAUCCUUGAGAUCUUAGUGGCGCAGCUAACGCGAUAAGUCGACCGCCUGGGGAGUACGGCCGCAAGGUUAAAACUCAAAUGAAUUGACGGGGGCCCGCACAAGCGGUGGAGCAUGUGGUUUAAUUCGAAGCAACGCGAAGAACCUUACCUGGCCUUGACAUGCUGAGAACUUUCCAGAGAUGGAUUGGUGCCUUCGGGAACUCAGACACAGGUGCUGCAUGGCUGUCGUCAGCUCGUGUCGUGAGAUGUUGGGUUAAGUCCCGUAACGAGCGCAACCCUUGUCCUUAGUUACCAGCACCUCGGGUGGGCACUCUAAGGAGACUGCCGGUGACAAACCGGAGGAAGGUGGGGAUGACGUCAAGUCAUCAUAGCCCUUACGGCCAGGGCUACACACGUGCUACAAUGGUCGGCACAAAGGGUUGCCAAGCCGCGAGGUGGAGCUAAUCCCAUAAAACCGAUCGUAGUCCGGAUCGCAGUCUGCAACUCGACUGCGUGAAGUCGGAAUCGCUAGUAAUCGUGAAUCAGAAUGUCACGGUGAAUACGUUCCCGGGCCUUGUACACACCGCCCGUCACACCAUGGGAGUGGGUUGCUCCAGAAGUAGCUAGUCUAACCGCAAGGGGGACGGUUACCACGGAGUGAUUCAUGACUGGGGUGAAGUCGGAACAAGGUA